UACGUAGGGUGCGAGCGUUAAUCGGAAUUACUGGGCGUAAAGCGUGCGCAGGCGGUUUUGUAAGCCAGAUGUGAAAUCCCCGGGCUUAACCUGGGAAUGGCAUUUGGGACUGCAAGGCUUGAGUGCGGCAGAGGAGACUAGAAUUCCUGGUGUAGCAGUGAAAUGCGUAGAUAUCAGGAGGAAUACCGAUGGCGAAGGCGACUACCUGGCCUGUUCUUGACGCUGAGGCACGAAAGUGUGGGGAGCAAACAGG
rnacentral:rRNA from 1 species